AUGUCCUCCACUUGCUGGCAAGGGCAGCGGAUAGCUUUCAUGUGUUUGAAGAGUCAGAUGAAUAUGCUUGAAUCUGCACGUUGGAGCAGGAAUUGAUGCCACUGUAUAUUGAUCUUUGAGAAAUCAUCAGUUACGUUUUGCAGUCUCUGCUUAAUGCUUCAUAUUUUACACAAUGCAUUUGAAGUGUUUGUUAGAAAAUGUUAAAAAGGCUUUGAUCAGGUUGCCUAAAGAGCGCAAUGCCUUAGAUUUGACAAAAGAACAGUGCAACGAGACCUGAAGUGCCUGUUGUCUUUGCUGUCUCUAAAAAUGAUCACAUUUCAUUUGCAACAUUCCAGUUCUGUUGUGAGAAACUGCAUUUGAAUACUUUUUUCUCGAAUUUCUUAAAUCUCUGCUGUUUGAGGUUGAACUUAAAAAAAGAGAUCAGAUUGAUCACGGUCCAGGGUGUUUCAAAGCAGUGAGUAAUCGCGAGUGUUUAAUUUUAUCUGUUGCAGUAUGCAUUGCAAGGCGGCUGUGUAAUCAAGCCUGUGAACUCAACAUCUGAAGGCAGAAUUCUGUUUCUGAUCACAUCCCCACUGAAGUCCAUCCAUUCACUGCACACGGAUACGUUGACGCGCUCAAGCUUGCUCUCCUUGAACAUUCCACGUCUGAGGGGCCAUGAAUAAUGCCACGGAGCCUGAGAGAAAGAGGGGGAAAAAGACUCCACUCCUGCUCCAGUUUAUCAACACACAGCUGUACUGUUGUUAGUUGCCAUGUUGCCUUCAAAGACCAGCAGACAUAUUCGUAUGACUCCUAUGACCGAUCUGGGGUUUCAAAUUCAGAAACAAACCUCACACUUAAUGAGAAGAAAGAAGAAAUCAAAUAA
rnacentral:lncRNA from 1 species